UUCGAAGAUACGCGAAGAACCUUACCUAGCCUUGACAUUGAUUGAACGGACCAGAGAUGGACCGGUGCCCUUCGGGGAACAUGAAAACAGGUGCUGCACGGCUGUCGUCAGCUCGUGUCGUGAGAUGUUGGGUUAAGUCCCGCAACGAGCGCAACCCUCGUCCUUAGUUGCUAGCAGGUUAAGCUGAGCACUCUAAGGAGACUGCCUUCGCAAGGAGGAGGAAGGUGAGGACGACGUCAAGUCAUCAUGGCCCUUACGGCUAGGGCUACACACGUGCUACAAUGGGGCGUACAGAGUGUUGCGAUACCGCGAGGUGGAGCUAAUCACUUAAAGCGUCUCUCAGUUCGGAUUGGAGUCUGCAACUCGACUCCAUGAAGCUGGAAUCACUAGUAAUCGUAGAUCAGCAAUGCUACGGUGAAUACGUUCCCGGGUCUUGUACUCACCGCCCGUCACACCAUGGGAGUUGAUUUCGCCCGAAAUUGGGAAGCUAACCUUCGGGAGGCUACCA
rnacentral:rRNA from 1 species